rnacentral:sRNA from 1 species
AAUGCGAGCGGCGGGAGUAGGCUUGGUGGACUGUCACUGCCACCUCUCCGCCCCGGACUUUGACCGCGAUUUGGAUGAUGUGUUGGAGAAAGCCAGGAAGGCCAAUGUUGUGGCCCUUGUGGCAGUUGCCGAACAUUCAGGAGAAUUUGAAAAGAUUAUGCAACUUUCAGAAAGGUGCUACUUUUAAUUAAGAUUUUAAAGGGUUGACAAUAAGAACACAGUUAUGACAUCCAGUUUAUAAUAUCAAAGAUCCAUUUUUAAAGAGAAUAAAGAGGAAAAAGCAUUUUAACAUAGCCCUAAAGAGAUUAUUUUUUACUUAUUCCUUUUUUUUUUUUCUUUGAGAGAUGGAGUCUUGCUCUGUCACCCAAGCUGGAGUGCAGUGGCGCAAUGUCAGCUCACUGCAACCUCUGCCUCCUGGUUUCAAGCAAUUGUCUGCCUCAGCCUCCCGAGUAGCUGGGACUAGGGCAUGCACCACCAGGCCUGGCUAAUUUUUAUAUUUUUUGUAGAUGCAGAAUUUCACCAUGUUGGCCAGGCUGGUCUCAAACUCCUGGCCUUAAGUGAUC